GAUGAACGCUGGCGGCGUGCUUAACACAUGCAAGUCGAGCGGAGCUUAUUAGUGAAUCCCUUUCGGGGGUGAAGUUUUUAAGUUUAGCGGCGGACGGGUGCGUAACGCGUGGGUAAUCUGCCCUUGUCACUGGGAUAACACAUCGAAGGGUGUGCUAAUACCAGAUAAUAUACAGACUCGGCAUCGAGACUGUAUCAAAGUCAUGCGGACAAGGAUGAGCCUGCGUCUGAUUAGCUAGUUGGUGGGGUAAAAGCCUACCAAGGCGACGAUCAGUAGCCGACCUGAGAGGGUGAUCGGCCACACUGGAACUGAGACACGGUCCAGACUCCUACGGGAGGCAGCAGUGGGGAAUAUUGCACAAUGGGCGAAAGCCUGAUGCAGCAACGCCGCGUGAGUGAUGAAGGUUUUCGGAUCGUAAAACUCUGUUCUAAGGGAAGAUAAUGACGGUACCUUAGGAGAAAGCCCCGGCUAACUACGUGCCAGCAGCCGCAGUAAGAC
rnacentral:rRNA from 1 species